rnacentral:rRNA from 1 species
CCUACGGGAGGCAGCAGUGGGGAAUAUUGCACAAUGGGGGAAACCCUGAUGCAGCAACGCCGCGUGAGUGAAGAAGUAUUUCGGUAUGUAAAGCUCUAUCAGCAGGGAAGAAGAUGACGGUACCUGAUUAAGAAGCCCCGGCUAACUACGUGCCAGCAGCCGCGGUAAUACGUAGGUGGCGAGCGUUGUCCGGAUUUACUGGGCGUAAAGGGAGCGUAGGCGGACUUUUAAGUGAGAUGUGAAAUACUCGGGCUCAACUUGAGUGCUGCAUUUCAAACUGGAAGUCUAGAGUGCAGGAGAGGAGA